rnacentral:tRNA from 1 species
GGGAUCGUGAGAUCAGAUGGUAGAGAGCUGGCUUAGCAUGCGAGAGGUACGGGGAUCGAUACCCCGCGUUUCCA